AAACUAUUUAAGGAGGAUCAAUUGGAGGGCAAGUCUGGUGCCAGCAGCCGCGGUAAUUCCAGCUCCAAUAGGAUAUAUCAAAGUUGUUGCAGUUAAAAAGCUCGUAGUUGAAUGUCUGUUGGGUUUUCGUUGGCCCCGGGCAGGCGGGUAGAAAUACCCCCGGUCCGUGCGGUCCGCCCGACAUCCUGAGGGUUCGCCUUUGCGCGCGGUGGUUCACUCUGUCCGCGCGCGGGUCCCACUCCGUUACUGAGAGCAAAUUGGAGUGCUCAAAGCAGGCCUUACGGCUUUGAACAUAUUAGCUUGGAAUAACAAGACAGGACGUCGUUCUAUUUUGUUGGUUCACAGAAUGAGGUAAUGAUUAACAGGAACAGCUGCGGGGGUACUCGUAUUUGACAGUCAGAGGUGAAAUUCUUGGAUUUGUCAAAGACGAACGACUGCGAAAGCAUUUACCAAGGAUGUUUUCAUUAAUCAAGAACGAAAGUUUGGGGAUCGAAGAUGAUUAGAUACCAUCGUAGUCCAAACCAUAAACGAUGCCGACUCGGGAUUGGCGCACGAUUUGAUUAUCCGCGCCAGCACCGUAUGAGAAAUCAAAGUCUUUGGGUUCCGGGGGGAGUAUGGUCGCAAGGCUGAAGCUUAAAGGAAUUGACGGAAGGGCACACCAGAGGUGGAGCCUGCGGUUUAAUUUGACCCAACACGGGGAAACUUACCAGGUCCUGACAUGAUGAGGAUUGACAGUUUGAAAGCACUUUCUUGAUUUCAUGGGUGGUGGUGCAUGGCCGUUCUUAGUUGGUGGAGUGAUUUGUCUGGUUGAUUCCGAUAACGAACGAGACGGGGGGACUUAACUGGUCGUGUGUCGUAAUUCGCGUUACUUCCGGCCUCUUAUGUCGACAACUCGGUUUUACCGAGAGGAAGCGCCCCGCAAUAACAGGUCUGUGAUGCCCUUAGAUGUUCUGGGCUACACGCGCGCUACAAUGACGAGUUCAACGAGUUUGUAUCUCCUUGCCCGGAAGGGUUCGGUAAUCUUUUCAAUGCUCGUCGUGAUGGGGCUAGAUCUUUGCAAUUAUUAAUCUUCAACGAGGAAUCUCUAGUAUGUGCAGUUCAUCAGACUGCGCAGAAUGCGUCCCUGCCCUUUGUACACACCGCCCGUCGCACCUACCGAUUGGACGAUCCGGCAAGAUGUUUGGAGUGGGUCUCUCGUGCUUGCAUGGGAAAUCUGCAAAGCUCCUCAAACC
rnacentral:rRNA from 1 species